rnacentral:rRNA from 1 species
AGAGCGAACGCUGGCGGCAGGCCUAACACAUGCAAGUCGAGCGCCCCGCAAGGGGAGCGGCAGACGGGAGAGUAACACGUGGGAACGUACCCUUCAGUUCGGAACAACCCAGGGAAACUUGGGCUAAUACCGAAUACGUCCGUAAGGAGAAAGAUUUAUCGCUGAAGGAUCGGCCCGCGUCUGAUUAGCUUGUUGGUGAGGUAACGGCUCACCAAGGCGACGAUCAGUAGCUGGUCUGAGAGGAUGAUCAGCCUCACUGGGACUGAGACACGGCCCAGACUCCUACGGGAGGCAGCAGUGGGGAAUAUUGGACAAUGGGCGCAAGCCUGAUCCAGCCAUGCCGCGUGGGUGAUGAAGGCCCUAGGGUUGUAAAGCCCUUUCGGCGGGGAAGAUAAUGACGGUACCCGCAGAAGAGCCCCGGCUAACUUCGCGCCAGCAGCCGC